AACGUAGGUGGCAAGCGUUAUCCGGAUUCACUGGGCGUAAAGCGCACGCAGGUGGCACGGCAGGUAGGGCAUGAAAACUCCUGGCUUAACUAGGAGAGGCUGUCCUAAACCGCCGGGCUUGAGGGUGAGAGAGGGAAGUGGAAUUGCCGGUGUAGUGGUGAAAUGCAUAGAUACAAUCAAGAACUCCGAUUGCGUAGGCAGCUAACUAGGCUGUAACUGACGCUGAGGCACGAAAGCGUGGGGAGCGAACAGG
rnacentral:rRNA from 1 species